UACGUAGGCAGCAAGCGUUGUUCGGAGUUACUGGGCGUAAAGGGUGUGUAGGCGGCUUCGUAAGUUCGGUGUGAAAUCUCCCGGCUCAACUGGGAGGGUGCGCCGAAUACUGAAUGACUAGAGUGCGGGAGAGGAUAGUGGAAUUCCUGGUGUAGCGGUGAAAUGCGUAGAUAUCAGGAGGAACACCGGAGGCGAAGGCGGCUCACUGGGGCUUUUCUGACGCUGAGGAACGAAAGCCAGGGGAGCGAACGGG
rnacentral:rRNA from 1 species